GGCAAAGAGUGGGAAUAAACAGGGCUUUUUUCUGGUUGCUGCCAGUGACUAGAGCACCGCAGAGGGUCA